CUGUAAAUAGAAAUCUUCAUAUAUAUAUAUAGUGGAUGUGACCAUGAUUGCUAGAGAAUCUAAAAUAAGGAACAUUGCUUUUAAGAGAGAGAGAGAGAGAGAGAGAGAGAGAGAGAGAGAGAGAGAGAGAGAGAGAGAGAGAGAGCUGUGAACCACAGGCAUGUGUGUAACUUUAAUCAGUGGUUCUCUGUGGAAGUGAGGCAGACGUUAUGCUAUUGUGACUGGGGAGAUGGCUCAGCAUGAACAGCACUGGCUGUGCCAGCUUAAGGAACCAGGUCUGGAUUUCCAUAACUAAUGGCAAAGCUGGAUGUAGGCAGCAUGAGGCCCUAAAAUCUCAGCACAGCUAGACUAAGGGAGCAGGCAGAGACGGGAGAAUUCCCUGAAGUUCCGGCUCUGGCCUACACAGAGGGGAACAACAGAUCUCAUCUCAAACAAGUCAAGGCAUCAUUGUACUGAAACAACAUCAAGGCAAAGCAUUGGACCACCAGGUGUCUCAGGCUAGCUCAUGCUGAUAAAAGAUGUGGAGGCAAGUAAGGAAGCACGAGAUUGACUCACAGGAACCACAGACCUUUCAUUUUCUGAGCCUGUUCUUCCCAGGAUCUGUUGCUGAUGACAAUACCAGGAGAGCAGAGUUUCAGAAGACCCACGGGGCUUGGCCCACUGCCUGGGAAGAGGCAUAGCCAGCCUGGGAAUUGAUUUGAAUGUAAUGAACCUUCUGUCUCAUCUGGUACUUUCAGAAGAAUUUGCAGAGUCAAUAGAUGUGGAGCUACCUCUCCAGCCUUCUGUCUGCCUGCAGGUGUCUAUGCGUCCCACCAUGAUGACACUGUACUAAACCUCUGAAACGGUAACUGUAAACUUCCCAUCUCCCGCCCCCAUUUCUACCACGGAGCCACGGAGUUUCCACUGAGUUUCUAUACAGACCUUCAGCUUCGGGAAGAAAAUCCCCAGACUGGAACUCUGAGACAAGAAGCCAUGGUGUAGAUUAAGAUGGAGGAGCAGAUGUUGGAGACACACAUCCCAGUUCCUCUCCAGUUUCGGUGCAGAUGACUCAGUGGCGACAUGAGGCACUCCGUGGGCUGCAUAGGUCUGAUGACAUCACACUGAUCUGAAAAUCCAAGUUGUAGGUCUCCAUGUUCUGAGAGAUGAAUGUGGAAGAGGAUUGAAGAUGGUAAAGACUGAAGGAAAUGAUCUGAAGUCAACGGGACAGUGGGUCCAGUAAUCUGAGCGUUCAGUUGGAGGCUGGAGAAUGGCAUCAGAGGGAGCUCGGUCAUUUUUUUGUCCCGGUUGUUCUCUACCCCAAUGAGACCAGGCAUCUGUCAUUUCUCUGAUCCACAGAACAAUGUGCCACAAAGGUUGUCACCAUGAUAGCUCUGGCGUCUGGCUGAAGUGCUGACAUUCAGCAUGCAUUUUCUGAACUGCGCUACUUUCCAAUGAAUUCAGGCUGCCAGUUGGAAGGGGACGACCAGUGGAAGAAGCCAGGCAGAUUGGGGAAGGUGUGAAGGCUAGAUCUCCCAACUAAGCAUGCAGGCUUCCAGAACUCAGGGAAGAAAGUGAGAUUUGGCAUAUCAGAACAAAUGGAAUUUGUGGGAGAACUCUCAGAGUGAUGAGCUCUCUGUCUGGAAACAUUACAGUGGACCCCGCUUAAAAUAUCCCCACAAAGCAGCUCUAUCUAUGGUAUUUGCUGAAUAUAAAGUCAGAUGGGAAAUGUAAGCCAUUACUAAAGCUGUCCUUGGCCCCACAUCCACCAUAAGAUGUCCUCCUCAUCCCUAUCAUCUCCAGAAAGGAGAUAGAUAAUUUUGACUGUCUUAUUACCAUGGCACUGGCCACUCAGUCUAUGUUUUCUCCCAUUAGCUUGUCUCAGUUUGGCUUCCUCUGUGGCAGCUUCACGGAGGCAGGGACUGGUGAGAUGUCUCAGUGGGUAAAAUUGUCUGCCAUCAAGCCUGAGGACCUGAGUUCAAUCCCCAGCACCCACUUGUUGGAAGGAGAAAACCCACUCCCAAGAGUGGUUCUCUGACCCUCUAGUACAUGCUAAGUCAUGUGUGUUCCCAUGACAUAACAUGUAUGGGCACACACACACACACACACACACACACACACACACACACACACACAGGGGAAAAGGAGAAAACUGUCUGAAACUCACUGUAAAUUGUUACCAGUGUUCUAAAAAACCUAGUAGUUCUUGAGCAUCAACCUCUUAGGAACUGAAGUUGUAUUCAUAGAACCAACCAAAACUUUUGUUAUAAUACUUUUAUUUCCUUGCUACACAUUGCAAUUUCUCCCCAUGGGAGUACUUCUGUUUGCCUGCCAAGCUGAAGGUCUCAGGCUUCUUGGAGCAAACAUUCUCCAGGUGAUUGCAUCCAUCCCUUGCAGGGGAACACUUUUGUCAGCAAAUUCACACAUGCACCUCAGGGAGGACAGACUACGUCAGCUGUGGAUGGAGCUCUGUUCUAAGUGUCUCUGCCACCUCUCCCUUUGACUCUCACAAAGACGUUUCACCCUCCAUCCUCCCAACCUUGUUCAUUUACUCUCAAAAUCUUUUUUCACCAUCUUUACAAUUUUCUUGAUAUCAGUGAAUGCUCACUGUGCUGAAAUUACAAGCCAUCCGUGACACCCCUUCCCUACCAGUCCAUCUCUGUCCACCACUGGAUCUACUGUCCGCAUCAUUCACACAGAACAUCUGACCAAGUGACUGCUCUUCUUUAGUCCACUGUUCAAAGCUUGUAGGAUUAAUCUUUAUAAAACAUAACACAUUGAACGCGAUCACGGUACUGAAAGCCUCCUCGUAGGUCUCUUUAGUAUUAAACUCUUACCUCGCUCUUCGACUUGCUUGUCUUUUCCUUUUCUACUCAAUCUCAUUGUAAACUCUGUAAACUUCUGUAGUGCCAUUCCCUUCCUUAUCAACUGGUUUGUGAUCAAUAUUCCCCACUGUCAUUCAUGGGAAACCUUUUUAUUUUUAUCUACAAUAUUCUUCCUUCUGUUUCUCAUUGAGAUGUCAACUUGAAUUCCCUAUAGCCUGGCAAGAGAUGACAAGGUCAUAAGCAUUUGUGUCUCUGCUCGGUCCUGUGUAUCUAAGUAGAUUACAUGAUAAAUUCUCAUUAGAACAUUGGAAGCAUGCAUGAAAUCAUCUAUAGGUGACUUGGGAUCCUUCCCUGCCACACCCAGAUGUGUCUUCCUUUACCUCAGCAUGUGAGCUGGUAACCAUGGACUCUUAUUUUCUCAGACAUUCAAUUUGAAAGGCUCUCUGACAGUUUCUAAUAAGCUACACUUUGGUAUUUUUCUCUGUGUGACUGAAUGCAAAGAACAUGCUAGAGUGAAGCUUCAAUAGGAGAACUUCUAUAUCUCAGGGUCAAACCUUGAUACAGACCCAUGGAAAAGAACUGCGGGGUAGUGUUGUCUGGUAGCUAUGAAGAAGGAGGAAAUCAUGCAACUUGUGUGGGUUCUGCUCUGUGGCCCUGCUUGAAAUGAUGAAGAUAUAACUUCUCAAAUGCUUCUUGCUCAUGACAUGAAUUAGUACAAAAUUUCAAUGGAUUUUUCUGAGAUAGGAGUGUUUACAUGUUAACUUAUUAUAGCCUGUUCUGUUUUGAAUAGCAUAAUAUCUCACAUAAAUGCUUCUUUAUCCAGCCUUCCCAUUUAUUCUCAUUGAGCCUAUCACACUAUUAUCAAUUUGAAACCUUUACAUGUUUUCCGCCAGACAUUGACUUAUUUUAUUUGCUUGCUUUCAUGAAUCGCAAGUCAAACUCCAUCCUGACAGGUUCCUUGCCUCUUGAAUAGCAGACAGUGCCUGCGUGUAGACCAUGCUCAAUAGCCGUCUGUGGAAUGAAUGGACAGCUACAGCAGAGAAACUGUACUUACAAACACAGCAUGCUUUCAGUGAACGAUGGCUGACUGGAGAAGCUCCUUCUUAUGUUACCCGGAGUUGCUCACUCUGUUGAGCAACAUUGCCUGCAUGCGGAGGGGUGCACCUUACUUGGGAACGAGAAUCAGAACUCACACCUCUUCCUUUGUAUCUAGAAUCUAGAUUCAUUUUAGUAUUAGUCACCAAACCACAAAUCUCACCAUAGCUAUGUUGGGGAUAAUUUGUGAUUCUUUUAUGUGUCAUCUAGCAUACAAGGUAUUAGAUGUCAUUGCGGCAUCAGUGCCUUUUACUGUAUUCUCCUCACAAAGCCCCACUAGCUCCUCUAAUCCCUGUCUGCCACCUGUUUGUUACUUGCUCUCCAGUUUCCUUUCACUGUAAUGUGGCCUAUUGUCUCCCCUCCACUAUCAUUUUGUGCAUUUUGGGGGCCUCUUUUCUAUGUUUUUUAGGCUUUAUCCACAUUUAUAACAUGGAAUCACCUUGCCGGGCGGGUUAUGUUUGGAUUACAUCUGAAAUUUCGCAUUGAUCCAGAGGUUGAUUGGGAAGUUUUACUUACUUAGCUGAUUGAGGGAACUGGUCACGUUUGCUCCAUUUUAAGCCUUGUCGUUUGUCUCUAGGUUCAGUCCUGUAAUUAUUUAAGUCAAGAAACUCUGGGUUUUUUUGUUAGUCAUUCUUCAGUCUUCGUUUCUGUUAUGAUGAAAAAAAUACCCUGACAAAAAGCAACCCAGGAUAGAAAGGGUAUCUCUUAGCUUACAGUUCCCAGCCUCUGAUCAACAUAGCAGGGUCAUUGACGCAGCAAGAACUUAAAAUGUUCUGAUGCAUAACAUCCAAAGUCAAGAGGAGAACAAAAUGAAUGCAUAGAUAAUUGCUUGCUUGAUUACACAUAGUUCAGUUUUCACAUUCUUACACAGUUCAGGACUUCUUGUCUAGGGAAUGUUGCUACCCAUAGUAGGCGGGGUCUUUCUACAUCAAUUAACUUAAGAUGACCUCCCACAGACAUGCUCAGUGACCAACGUAGUGUAGGUAACUCUCAUCGAGACUCUCUUCUCAGGCGGUACUAGGUUGCAUUAAGUUGACAUUUAAAGUCGUCAUAAUCAUUGUUUGACAGCAUGCUCUAUUAAUUAGCUGUCUUUAUCUCUGAUGUUGGGCAGUACUUUUUACAAAUGACCACAGCUCUCUUUCCCUGCCAGCAUCUGUGACCUAGGUGAUAUGGCUGUGUAGCCUCCCCAAAGAGGUGAAACUUAUUUCUGCUCUUCUGAGCAGAUCAUAUGACUUGUUUUGAGUAGUGGAAAGUGGCAAAACAAAGUUGUGAGAAUUGUGAGUCUGGGAUUCAAGAUGCCUUGUAAGUUUGUGAUUCCUUUCUAGUUUUGGUGUGACCAAGUAUGGUAUAGCCUGUUAGGACACCCAGGGUAUCCUACUGUUGGGGCAUCUAGUAAUCAACCAAUCUGACAGUGGUUUGUAGAUGUAGAAUUGAAUGCAACCAAGACCAUAGAGUUACCCUAAUGAACUCACCCUAUGCAGUUUACCUGUAGCUGUAAUAAAGGGCUGUGCAUUAAAGACAAUGCUUUGUAGUGGUUUAGUUAAUUAUCUUUAUUAAUCAGAAGUGAACCAGUUCACCAAAUGGCUGUGUAGUGACAUGUGGCUUUCUUGACUCCUUUAGGCUCAUCUUUCACCCUUCCCUCCCUCC